rnacentral:rRNA from 1 species
UACGUAGGGGGCAAGCGUUGUCCGGAAUCAUUGGGCGUAAAGAGCGUGUAGGCGGCUCGGUAAGUCCGCUGUGAAAGUCCAGGGCUCAACCCUGGAAUGCCGGUGGAAACUGUCGAGCUAGAGUCCGGAAGAGGCGAGUGGAAUUCCUGGUGUAGCGGUGAAAUGCGCAGAUAUCAGGAGGAACACCAAUGGCGAAGGCAGCUCACUGGGACGGUAUUGACGCUGAGACGCGAAAAGCGUGGGGGAGCAAACAGG